GUGCCAGCAGCCGCGGUAAUACGAAGGGUGCAAGCGUUACUCGGAAUUACUGGGCGUAAAGGGUGCGUAGGUGGUUGUUUAAGUCUGCUGUGAAAGCCCCGGGCUCAACCUGGGAAUGGCAGUGGAUACUGGACAGCUAGAGUGCGGUAGAGGGUAGUGGAAUUCCCGGUGUAGCAGUGAAAUGCGUAGAGAUCGGGAGGAACACCAGUGGCGCAGGCGGCUACCUGGACCAGCACUGACACUGAAGCACGAAAGCGUGGGGAGCAAACAGGAUUAGAUACCCUGGUAGUCCACGCCCUAAACGAUGCGAACUGGACGUUGGGAGCAACUUGGCUCUCAGUGUCGAAGCUAACGCGUUAAGUUCGCCGCCUGGGGAGUACGGUCGCAAGACUGAA
rnacentral:rRNA from 1 species